UGAACGAUUUUUACUACUUUCCAAAGUGUAAAACCACGAUAACAUUUUUUUUAGUUUACCGCAACGAAACCGUGUCUUACUAAUUAUUAUGGGUGUAUAAUACCAUGUAAUAAAAAUAUACAACAGAUAUAUUUUCUCCAUUUUCAGAAUAACGUUUCGGUCACUUAACCUCACCUUACCCGGUACACGUUUUCCGUCAGAAAUUUCGGUUGGAUAUAUUUUUUUCACAAAUAUUCGUGCGUUCUAAAAAUCAUCAACAUCGUGCUCCCGAAAACUCUCAGACCUGACAC